rnacentral:rRNA from 1 species
UACAGAGGUCUCAAGCGUUGUUCGGAAUCACUGGGCGUAAAGGGUGUGUAGGCUGCGUGUUAAGUCAGAUGUGAAAUCCCGGGGCUCAACCUCGGAACUGCAUCCGAUACUGGCAUGCUAGAGAAUUGGAGAGGAGUCUAGAAUUCACGGUGUAGCAGUGAAAUGCGUAGAUAUCGUGAGGAAUACCAAUUGCGAAGGCAGGUUACUACUAAUGGAUUGACGCUGAUGGACGAAAGCGUGGGUAGCGAACAGG